rnacentral:tRNA from 1 species
GCUUCCGUUGCGCAAUAGGCAGCGCGCUCGACUGCUAACCGAAAAGUUGGUGGUUCGAGUCCACCCGGGAGCU